UAAGGGUAAUCAAAAGCAACCACGGGUAGCUCUUCCCAUUUCUGCAACCUUAUCGUAGAGAGGGAUGAAGGGGAGGGGAAAGAAUCUGUGAGGGAAGGGGCCAGAAAGGCGCCUAUCAUCUACCCAGAGAGUGACUCUCAGUCAGUCAUGGUUUCAUGCAGUCUAAAAUGCUGUAGUUGUGCUCAAAAAACGACAAUUCCAAAGAACACUCAACAAGGGCGGCCAGAUGAACAGCGGUCCAAGUGACCCUCCCUGAACACCAAGGGACCAGCAUGGGGCUGAAGCCCUUGAGACUUAGUGUUUCUGCAGCUAGAGAUGAAGUCAAGGUAGUAAGUUUGGCCCCUGACGGGGCUGGCUGGCUCUGGAGGUGAGGACCAGCCUAUCUCAGGCAGGUAUAUGAACUGCUGUUUGGUUUGGUUUUGAAUGCUUGUGAAUGGCUGAAAAAGCAAUGGCGACUGGGACUGCUGGAGAAAGGCCUAGGUCGACUCCACUGUGGGUUCUGCCACCAUUACCUUUCUGGAGGUGCCUGCUGCGCAGUUUGCUCUGCUCUCGCUCUAAGCAGUGGGAAGACGUGUCCCCCCCCACAGAGCGACAGCAGGCUGGCUUCCAAUCCGCGGCCAGCCACUGGUAGGAGCUCGAGUCACGGGACCCAACCGAGUUCACACCAUCCUUCUGGAUUGAGUUGUCACGUCCCAAAGCCAAAUGCCUUGGCAUUUACAACGAGCAGUGGCUGCUGUGCCUCAAGAUGGUACAUGCAGAACUGGAAUCAUAUAUCUCGUCAGUUAAUCAGCACCAAGGAGAUUAUGAUCCGAGAUGGCCGCUCUCUUCUUGCCCAUCCACAUGAGGACCACCAAGGGCCUACCAGCCCCAGGCUUCUGACCGGCAGGCCCUGGGGGACCGAAGGACAGGACUGCAAUCUUAGCUCCCCUCCCAUUGUAAAAAUCAGACAGAAAAAUUGCAAGAUAAGGUGAAAAUAGGAAGUAAAAAGGAAAAGC
rnacentral:lncRNA from 1 species